rnacentral:hammerhead_ribozyme from 1 species
AUCUAGCUGAUGAUUCCCAAAUGGAAUGAAACGCACGUUCUGGAU